ensembl:processed_transcript
CAUAGGGCACGCUGUCAAGGGGAAAGAAGGGGUCCGAGGACAGAAGAGAGCCCAGGUAGGAGUCAUCCCUCAAGGCCGCUGGCACAUUUAAACUACAGCAAGCCCUUAAGCUUCAGAUCGGGAUUUCUUUCUGCCCUCCCAGUUGUGCAAUAACUAAACUUGGACACGCAAGGUCAGGGAGAAGGAUGGAGGAUGCAGUGAAGUGGAACUCAUAGGCAGCCACCCCUUCUCUACACAGCAGAGCUG